rfam:Salmo salar isolate Sally breed double haploid chromosome ssa01, whole genome shotgun sequence.
UCACAUGUGGCUCAGUUGGUAGAGCAUGGUGUUUGCAACGCCAGGGUUGUGGGUUCCCAUGGGAG